rnacentral:rRNA from 1 species
CAGCAGCCGCGGUAAUACGUAGGGUGCAAGCGUUAAUCGGAAUUACUGGGCGUAAAGCGUGCGCAGGCGGUUAUAUAAGUCAGAUGUGAAAUCCCCGGGCUCAACCUGGGAACUGCAUUUGAGACUGUAUGGCUAGAGUGUGUCAGAGGGGGGUAGAAUUCCACGUGUAGCAGUGAAAUGCGUAGAUAUGUGGAGGAAUACCGAUGGCGAAGGCAGCCCCCUGGGAUAACGCUGACGCUCAUGCGCGAAAGCGUGGGGAGCAAACAGGAUUAGAUACCCCAGUAGUCCCUGUCUCUUAUAC